GAGACUGCCAGUGAUAAACUGGAGGAAGGUGGGGAUGACGUCAAGUCAUCAUGGCCCUUACGACCAGGGCUACACACGUGCUACAAUGGCGCAUACAAAGAGAAGCGACCUCGCGAGAGCAAGCGGACCUCAUAAAGUGCGUCGUAGUCCGGAUUGGAGUCUGCAACUCGACUCCAUGAAGUCGGAAUCGCUAGUAAUCGUGGAUCAGAAUGCCACGGUGAAUACGUUCCCGGGCCUUGUACACACCGCCCGUCACACCAUGGGAGUGGGUUGCAAAAGAAGUAGGUAGCUUAACCUUCGGGAGGGCGCUUACCACUUUGUGAUUCAUGACUGGGGUGAAGUCGUAACAAGGUAACCGUAGGGGAACCUGCGGUUGGAUCAC
rnacentral:rRNA from 1 species